rnacentral:pre_miRNA from 1 species
CCAUCCGAAUCCCUACCGGGCAGCGAAUUACUUGGGCCAAGGGAAUGCAAACUGUGAUCAUCCCGAAAGUUUGUUCGUUUGGCUUAAGUUAUUUUCAUGUCCGACUAAAGCGCCACGUGG